AUGUCACCAAAGCGGGCAGAGGAAUAUAUUAUUCACCUUGGGUAUCUUUGGAAAUGAGUGGAGUCUGCAAGCCUAAAGGGAGUAGAAAGGGCACCCAAGCACUGGACUCCAGCUGACUGCUUCCUAUAGGGGUACCGGUUAACAGUUUUGUUAUCACUACAGGUAGAGCAGAAGUGAGCAAUAAGUGAAUGAAGGGCCAAAGAGGUUUGGAAUCAGUGACUUCCAGUAGCAACAAGCACACAGAGCAUCCAGAUCUUGGUAUCUGAUAACAUUCUCCAGUCGAGGAACCGGGGCUCUGUGAAGAGACAACUGAUUCCAGGACUCAGAAACGAAAGGUACCAGAAGGCAAGGAAGUGUUCAGCAACAGAACAAAAUCGCAGCUGUUGAAGGUACAUCAACAGGACAGAGGAGUCAACUGAAAGAGCUCCCAAUGACCAAAGCUGGAAAAAUUUGAGCAGCAAAAUAAAGUAAUAUUAGAUUAAAAUCCAGUGUACAAAAUAAACAUCCACAAGUCUAUAUUGAUAUAAAUAAAUGAUUGAAGACAUAACUACAUGGGAAGAAUUUCCCAUGCAGAAUAAUUCAAAAUAAUGUAUGUAAAUACUCCGCCUUCAAGGAGGGGAAGCAUAACUCCCCACCUCCCAAGUAAGGGCUGUGCAUGGUAACUUCCUUCCAAAGAAGACAGAGUGGAAGCAGGGAAAAACUGAACUUCACCGUGGAGAAAUCUGAAAACCCCUCCUCAGCCAGAUGAUCAAAGUUCACAUCAACAGUGCAGAAAACCAGGCCUCAUACAGAUAUGUAUUUGGAAAAAGGAGGAGAAAUUUAUUAACCUUCUAAGAUAAUUGUGGAUAUUCUUCUUGGAUACUGUAACAAAAUUCAACAAGGGACACUUUCUUAAAGAGUGGAUAUAAUUUGAAAUAUGUAACUGUAUCAGUGAGCUUUUUGUAUUUGUUCCAUUAAAAUCCAUGCAUCUAUCA